rnacentral:rRNA from 1 species
GACGAACGCUGGCGGCGUGCUUAACACAUGCAAGUCGAACGGACAGGCCCUGCUCUUGCUGGGUUCUCGAGUGGCGAACGGGUGAGUAACACGCGAGUAUCCUGCCCUUAACUUUCGGAUAAAUUCUCGAAACUGGGGCUAAUACCGGAUAGGAUAUCCUGCAGCAUGGUGGGGGUUGGAAAGUUUCGGCGGUUGGGGCUGGUAUCGCGGCUUAUCCGCUUGUUGGUGUGGUAGUGGCUUACCAAGGCUUUGACGGGUAGCCGGCCUGAGAGGGUGACCGGCCACCUUGGGACUGAGAGACGGCCCAGACUCCUACGGGAGGCAGCAGUGGGGAAUAUUGCGCAAUGGGCGGAAGCCUGAUGCAGCAACGCCGCGUGCGGGAUGACGGCCUUCGGGUUGUAAACCGCUUUCGCCUGUGACGAAGCGUGAGUGACGGUAAUGGGUAAAGAAGCACCGGCUAACUACGUG